rnacentral:rRNA from 1 species
CCUACGGGAGGCAGCAGUGAGGAAUAUUGGUCAAUGGCCGGAAGGCUGAACCAGCCAUGCCGCGUGAAGGUCAGUGCCCUAUGGGCGUUAAACUUCUUUUGUGCGGGAGCAAUAAUGGUCACGUGUGGCCAGACGAGAGUACCGUACGAAUAAGCAUCGGCUAACUCCGUGCCAGCAGCCGCGGUAAUACGGGGGAUGCAAGCGUUAUCCGGAUUUAUUGGGUUUAAAGGGUGCGUAGGCUGGGAGGUAAGUCAGCGGUGAAAUGCCCCCGCUCAACGGGGUGAAGUGCCAUUGAUACUGCCUUGCUGGAAUGCGGAUGCCGUGGGAGGAAUGUGUGGUGUAGCGGUGAAAUGCAUAGAUAUCACACAGAACACCGAUUGCGAAGGCAGCUCACGAAUCCGCGAUUGACGCUGAUGCACGAAAGCGUGGGUAUCAAACAGGAUUAGAUACCCCAGUAGUC